rnacentral:rRNA from 1 species
GAUUAACGCUGGCGGCGUGCAUAACACAUGCAAGUCGAACGAUGAAACUUAGUAGACUUCUUCGGAAAGACACUAAGCGGAUUAGUGGCGAACGGGUGAGUAACGCGUGAGUAACCUGCCUUACACAAGGGGAUAGCCUUUGGAAACGAAGAAUAAUACCCUAUAAACCAUAAAAGCACAUGCUAGAAUGGUCAAAGUGAUAGCGGUGUAAGAUGGACUUGCGUCUGAUUAGCUAGUUGGUGAGAUAAAAGCACACCAAGGCAACGAUCAGUAGCCGGCUUGAGAGAGUGUACGGCCACAUUGGGACUGAGACACGGCCCAGACUCCUACGGGAGGCAGCAGGGGGGAAUUUGGCACAAUGGGGGAAACCCUGAUGCAGCGACGCCGCGUGAUUUAGAAGGCCUUCGGGUUGUAAAAAUCUUUUGUAUAGGAAGAAAAUGACAGUACUAUACGAAUAAGGUCCGGCUAAUUACGUG